rnacentral:rRNA from 1 species
CAAUAGCGUAUAUUAAAGUUGUUGCAGUUAAAAAGCUCGUAGUUGGAUUUCUGGUCGGAAGCUCCUGUCCUCUGAUGAGCGUACAAGUGCGUCCUACCAUCCUUCUGUUAACCUUUAAGGCUUUCGCGGCUUUCUAGGGGCUCAGAUAUUUUACCUUGAGAAAAUUAGAGUGUUUCAGGCAGGCUAGCGCCGGAAUACAUUAGCAUGGAAUAAUGGAAUAGGACUUUUGCCCCUUCUGUUGGUCAUGAGGCUCGAGUAAUGAUUAAUAGGGAUAGUUGGGGGCAUUAGUACUUAACUGUCAGAGGUGAAAUUCUCGGAUUUGUUAAAGACUAACUUAUGCGAAAGCAUUUGCCAAGGAUGUUUUCAUUAA